GACUUCAGUUAGAAUAAAUCCGUGUUCUUUUUCUUUGCCUCUACAGAACCCAUGUCGAUUAAGUUUUCUAAAUCGCUCUUCCAUCUUCUUCCUCAGAGUAGAAAACGUUACCAGUUACCGAAUUAUCAUCUUAAACUCUCCAUUACUUUCUCACACACGAUCUAUAUUCAAUGUGAUUUAUGGAUCAGGCGGUGGAGAUUCAUCUAUAAAAAGAUCCGAAAAUCAAGGUCUGAAAAUGGGCAAAUACAUGAAAAAAUCAAGAUUACCAACAUCGAUACGGAGCCGACCGAGCCAACUUCCCUGGGAGUUUGCACUAGGGCCGCUAAAACCCUAGCUCUGAAGCGGCUCAAUUCAUCCGCCUCAAGAAACCAUCGGCGCUGACGGAGCCGAAACAGCCGCUGAUGAGAAUUAAGGAGCCUGGCUCGAAGGCUCGGGUUCGGUUCAUGUAGCUCAGAGCUGUAAUGGAGAUUAUUGGUUUGGAAAGUCUGAAGCUUUUUGUGGAGAGGACUGUCCUGCUUUUGAAUCGAGACAAAGUAGCUUUUAAUAUGUAAGAUCAUAUGAAGACUUUCUUCGUAAGUGUAGUGCAAGUACUGUGGUGUGGCAUCACGUUCAUGGGACCUAGCUAAGCUGUUGAGAAGAACUGCGACCUACCUGAUGGGCAAGUGAUGCCAAUUGUUUCCGAGCGGUUCCGUUGUCCUGAGGACCAAGACAUCAGAAAGGAUGCGUACGGUAUAACAUCGUGAUCAGUGGUGGAAGCACAUUUUCUCUGAGAUCGCUAACAAUUUGAGCUAAGAUAUCACGAACCUUUGUCUUCCAAUGUGUACCAAGGUUUUUUUUUUGUUCUUAUGUAUUUUGAAAUUCUGGCCAAAGACAUUUUCAAAGAUUUAUGUUCUUAUUUAGUUCAGCUGCCGUGUGAGUGAAUAAUAACACAUCUUUCUCUCUUUAAUUAUUAUGUAGCAUUGUGUUUCAAGUU